rnacentral:ncRNA from 23 species
ACGAACAGAACGAAAGCCUUUCAUAUAUGCGUGGGAAUAUGGCUCACGUGUCUCUACCGGGCCGCCGUAAACGGCCUGACUAUGAAGGCAGAAGACGCUGCU